CACACGAUUUAUCUUGGGGCUCGCUUUGUUUAUGAUUUAUUGUUUUACUAGAUUUUGCAUAAGUGCAUAUAAAUCGUUUUUAUACACAAUAUAGUAUUUAUUUAUCUUGUUUUACUUAUAUAUCGUAAUACAUGUUUAUUUAGAUUCACGGGUCUAGUCAAGCUUACUGAAUAUAUAGAGCUUAAGUUCAAGCUUGUUUUUUAAGUUUAUCUUGAUUCAAACUUUUUAUCUCAAAUAGCUUGAUUGUUUACACCAUUUUAGUUAUAACGUAUGCAUAAAAGUUAAAUUUUGACAUACUAGACUUGUUAUGU
rnacentral:lncRNA from 1 species